rnacentral:rRNA from 1 species
CGCUGGCGGCGUGCUUAACACAUGCAAGUCGAACGGAAAGGCCCUGCUUUUGUGGGGUGCUCGAGUGGCGAACGGGUGAGUAACACGUGAGUAACCUGCCCUUGACUUUGGGAUAACUUCAGGAAACUGGGGCUAAUACCGGAUAGGAGCUCCUGCUGCAUGGUGGGGGUUGGAAAGUUUCGGCGGUUGGGGAUGGACUCGCGGCUUAUCAGCUUGUUGGUGGGGUAGUGGCUUACCAAGGCUUUGACGGGUAGCCGGCCUGAGAGGGUGACCGGCCACAUUGGGACUGAGAUACGGCCCAGACUCCUACGGGAGGCAGCAGUGGGGAAUAUUGCACAAUGGGCGGAAGCCUGAUGCAGCAACGCCGCGUGCGGGAUGACGGCCUUCGGGUUGUAAACCGCUUUCGCCUGUGACGAAGCGUGAGUGACGGUAAUGGGUAAAGAAGCACCGGCUAACUACGUGCCAGCAGCCGCGGUGAUACGUAGGGUGCGAGCGUUGUCCGGAUUUAUUGGGCGUAAAGGGCUCGUAGGUGGUUGAUCGCGUCGGAAGUGUAAUCUUGGGGCUUAACCCUGAGCGUGCUUUCGAUACGGGUUGACUUGAGGAAGGUAGGGGAGAAUGGAAUUCCUGGUGGAGCGGUGGAAUGCGCAGAUAUCAGGAGGAACACCAGUGGCGAAGGCGGUUCUCUGGGCCUUUCCUGACGCUGAGGAGCGAAAGCGUGGGGAGCGAACAGGCUUAGAUACCGUGGUAGUCCACGCUGUAAACGGUGGGUACUAGGUGUGGGGUCCAUUCCACGGGUUCCGUGCCGUAGCUAACGCUUUAAGUACCCCGCCUGGGGAGUACGGCCGCAAGGCUAAAACUCAAAGGAAUUGACGGGGCCCCGCACAAGCGGCGGAGCAUGCGGAUUAAUUCGAUGCAACGCGUAGAACCUUACCUGGGUUUGACAUGGAUCGGGAGUGCUCAGAGAUGGGUGUGCCUCUUUUGGGGUCGGUUCACAGGUGGUGCAUGGCUGUCGUCAGCUCGUGUCGUGAGAUGUUGGGUUAAGUCCCGCAACGAGCGCAACCCUUGUUCACUGUUGCCAGCACGUUAUGGUGGGGACUCAGUGGAGACCGCCGGGGUCAACUCGGAGGAAGGUGGGGAUGACGUCAAGUCAUCAUGCCCCUUAUGUCCAGGGCUUCACGCAUGCUACAAUGGCUGGUACAGAGAGUGGCGAGCCUGUGAGGGUGAGCGAAUCUCGGAAAGCCGGUCUCAGUUCGGAUUGGGGUCUGCAACUCGACCUCAUGAAGUCGGAGUCGCUAGUAAUCGCAGAUCAGCAACGCUGCGGUGAAUACGUUCCCGGGGCUUGUACACACCGCCCGUCAAGUCAUGAAAGUUGGUAACACCCGAAGCCGGUGGCCUAACCGUUGUGGGGGAGCCGUCGAAGGUGGGACUGGUGA